AUUGAACGCUGGCGGCAGGCCUAACACAUGCAAGUCGAGCGGAGCGGCGGACGGGUGCGUAAUGCCUAGGAAUCUGCCUGGUAGUGGGGGAUAACGUCCGGAAACGGGCGCUAAUACCGCAUACUAUUCGAUGAGCCUAGGUCGGAUUAGCUAGUUGGUGGGGUAAAGGCGUAACAAGGCGACGAUCCGUAACUGGUCUGAGAGGAUGAUCAGUCACACUGGAACUGAUACACGUUCCAGACUCCUACGGGAGGCAGCAGUGGGGAAUAUUGGACAAUGGGCGCAAGCCUGAUGCAGCCAUGCCGGGUGUAUGAGGAAGUCCUUCGGGUUGUAAAGUACUUUCAGCGGGGAGACGUUACCCGCAGAAGAAGCACCGGCUAACUCCGUGCCAGCCGCCGCGGUAAUAC
rnacentral:rRNA from 1 species